GUCACUCUACGCGACCAGCGCUACGCCACUUCCAAAGGCAAAAUUUUAGAUCGUAGUUUGACGACCUAUCUUCAUAAGGGUCUUUAGUCUUUUGAUUAGAGUAUGAGUCAACCUACCCAUCUUAUGGAAGGCAAAAUUUUAAAUCAUAGUUUGACUUCAUAAGGGUCUUUAGUCUUUUGAUUAGCACUAUGAGUCGUAAGAGAGUAGAACUUAGGAAAAAGAUACUCUUUAGCCUAAGUGAGUUUCUGUUGCAUAGCUACUAGCAAGGACAACCAUGCCAACCAUUGGAACCAGUAGCGGAGAUACCUCAAGACAAGUCAAUUCACAUCCUUUCGCAAGAAAACCACACUGUAUAAAUAGGCUAAAAAAACUUAUAUGUUAAGACCCCCCUUAACAAAAAAUUUGGCUCUGCCCACAACCCAAAAGCAGAGUGUCUGGGGACUUACCUAGACAUGCAAAACUUGAAUAGCGCUACGGACUCCUGCCUCAACCGGUCAAGAAAACCCUUGCACUUCAACAUUUAGAGCAAGGUAAAGGCAUACGCACGAUAAACACAAAUCCUGCUAAUUCAUUUGUAGAACAAGAAUGCUGCUCACUAAGAUAUAUUUCAAAGAGCAUCAAACUUUUUCGU